GGUGAAGAACGUAGCGAAAUGCGAUACUUGGUGUGAAUUGCAGAAUCCCGUGAACCAUCGAGUCUUUGAACGCAAGUUGCGCCCGAAGCCAUUAGGCCGAGGGCACGCCUGCCUGGGCGUCACACGUCGUUGCCCCCCCAUCUACUCCUUCGGGAUUGCGGGGGGCGGAUGAUGGCCUCCCGUGCGCCUCGCCGCGCGGUUGGCAUAAAUGCCAAGUCCUCGGCGACGCACGCCACGACAAUCGGUGGUUGCGAAACCUCGGUUGCCCGUCGUGUGCGGUCGUCGCGCAUCGAGGGCUCGAAAAAAUUGCCGGGUUCCGGCUCGGCUUUCAACGCGACCCCAGGUCAGGCGGGGUUACCCGCUGAAUUUAAGCAUAUCAAUAAGCGGAGGA
rnacentral:misc_RNA from 1 species